GGCUGGGCUAAAGGUAGUGAGUUAUUUCAUUUGAUUGUUUACAGUUACACAUCAGACACCUUGUUCUGCUUUCUGUCUUCUAACUACUGCACCUGAUUAGUCUUUU
rnacentral:Y_RNA from 1 species